GAUGAACGCUAGCGGCAGGCUUAACACAUGCAAGUCGAGGGGCAGCGUGAUGAAGUAGCAAUACGGAUUUGACGGCGACCGGCGCACGGGUGCGUAACGCGUAUGUAACCUACCUUUAACAGGGGGAUAACACUGAGAAAUUGGUACUAAUACCCCAUAACACUUCGGAGGGCAUCCUUUGGAGUUGAAAGUUCCGGCGGUUAAAGAUGGACAUGCGUUGUAUUAGCUAGAUGGUGAGGUAACGGCUCACCAUGGCGACGAUACAUAGGGGGACUGAGAGGUUAACCCCCCCACACUGGUACUGAGACACGGUCCAGACUCCUACGGGAGGCAGCAGUGAGGAAUAUUGGUCAAUGGACGAGAGUCUGAACCAGCCAAGUAGCGUGCAGGAUGACGGCCCUCUGGGUUGUAAACUGCUUUUAGUUGGGAAUAAAAGAGGACGUGUCCCUUAUUGUAUGUACCAUCAG
rnacentral:rRNA from 1 species